GGAAGCCAUUGUAAUCCAUAAACUGUACUUUGGAAAUUUAUAUUCAUUAAAUAAAAGUUUAAAAAGAUAUAUUUAUAAAAUGUAUUUGUUGAAUUUUACAAAAAAAAAAAACAGACAUUCUGAACAGCAAAGAGAAAAUAUCAAGAAUUUUCCAUGGGGAAAUGUAAUUCAAACCCUGAAGAAUCCAAUUCUGAAAUUAAAAUCGCUGAGGAAAACAUCACAACAGAAAUGAUCAGUGCGCAUUAUUAAGUAACUAUCCACAGAGGGAAGAAAAGGGCAAGAAUGGAUGAAAGGAAAAUGAGAGUCUCAGAGAUCUGUCAGCUACUACCCAGCAGGGAUGGUCUAAUUCAAAUCUACCUGAAGUACUAAAAGAAGACAAAUAGCAGUGAGGGGCAACACAAUAUACUUGCAGAAAUCUUGGCGAAAAGUUUUCACACUAAUUGAAAAACAUAAACACACAGACCAGGAAGUUUAAUGAACUUUAAAUAAGAUACAUGUUAAUAAAACCACACAAGGAUACCAUAACUGUUCAAAAUCAAUAAAGAAGAAAAUAUUAACACCUGCUAAAUAAAAAGUGACAAGCCAUACAAAGGGGAACAAUAAACAGAACAAAACAACACAAAACAAGCUUCCCAAUUUGCAUCAUAAAUGUUUAUUUAUUUACUUAUUUAUAAUAUAAUAAUAGCCCAGAGAAAUUCAAAUGAAACUUUGAGGGACCAAAGAAGGCAGAAGGAUACACGAAAACUUUCAACCUCAUAUUUAUGAUGGAAGCACUGGAUACUGAUAUGAAAUGAAAACCAAACUUUAAUUUUUAUUUCUCACCAUUCACACACACACACACACACACACACAAAUUUCAGAUGGAUAACAGAUUUAAAUAGAAGGUGAAAUUUCAAGAUUUUGUGACAUGUAAACCUUCCUUAGGACACAAAAAACAACAUAAUUAAAGAAAACCGACACCAUUUGAUGUAGUUGACCAAUGAAUAUAGAAAGUCAGGACUUGAACCCAAGUCUGUUGAGAAGUAAAUCUGGGUUCCAUGAUGGCAGAAUAGUGACAGGGUGAUCUGAUUUACUCAUGGUUAAAUUAAUACAAAAAAGUGGAGAAGGUACACUCUUAGGUUAAGGCUGCAGGGGAAACUGCAUUGGGAGAUCCUGUGAAAGCAGUAGAAACAGCCCGGACCAGUGCAGAAUGUGCAGACACGCAGCAAGGUGCAAUGAGACAACAGAAGACCCAGCAGCUUGGAUCCAGGAAAGAAGGUUGCUGCCCUGUCAAACCAGGAGAGAUUGGACUCUAUGUGCCCACACCACUGUUGAUAUAGUGGGAGGGAGAGCUUAGAGAACUGUACCUUUUUGAGUGGAUGGAGAGGAAUGGUCACCUCUGUUGGUUUAACCACUCCUUCUCCUUCAAGCUGAGGGAUGCCCAGGUGAUAGCCCCCUUGUAUUCAACACUCAUUAGCACCACCGUAUAAACUGUAUAUUUAAUCUGUGCAGCCCCUCCUGUGAGCACUGUUCCCUCUCUGUGAGCUGCUCUAAGCAACCAAGGAGCACUGAGAGUGUGCAGCAAUACUCUGUGAUUGCCCAGAUCCCAGCUACACCCAGUCUUGUCUCAUACAAUCAAUGUGUUUUCUUGCUUUCAACACCCAGGGCUCUGAGCGUCUAGGAGUGCAAGAGGAGCCACUCCACCCGAUCCCCCAGGAUAGCAGGCCUGGGGAAGCAGUAGAAGAUGGCCCAAGUCCUUGGACCCCGCACCCAUGUGGGAGACCCAGAAGAAGCUCCUGGCUCCUGGCUUUAGAUUGGCAUAGCUCCAGCCGUUGCGGCCAUCUGAAAGUGAACCAUCGGAUGGAAGACCUCUCUCUGCCUCUCCUCUCUCUGUGUAACUCUGACUUUCAAAUAAAUAAAUAAAUCUUAAAAAAAAAAAAAAGCAUGAGCAAAGAGCACAUAACAUAAAAUAAAAUA